rnacentral:rRNA from 1 species
AACGAACGCUGGCGGCAUGCCUAACACAUGCAAGUCGAACGAGACCUUCGGGUCUAGUGGCGCACGGGUGCGUAACGCGUGGGAAUCUGCCCUUAGGUACGGAAUAACUCAGGGAAACUUGUGCUAAUACCGUAUGAUGUCGAGAGACCAAAGAUUUAUCGCCUAGGGAUGAGCCCGCGUAGGAUUAGCUAGUUGGUGGGGUAAAGGCCUACCAAGGCUACGAUCCUUAGCUGGUCUGAGAGGAUGAUCAGCCACACUGGGACUGAGACACGGCCCAGACUCCUACGGGAGGCAGCAGUGGGGAAUAUUGGACAAUGGGCGAAAGCCUGAUCCAGCAAUGCCGCGUGAGUGAAGAAGGCCUUCGGGUUGGUUAAAGGCUCUUUUACCCCGGGUAAGAUAAUGACUGUACCGGGAGAAUAAGCUCCGGCUAACUCCGUGCCAGCAGCCGCGGUAAU